rnacentral:misc_RNA from 1 species
CCUUUCUACGGAGUUUUUUUUCAGGACGCCGGCUUGGCGUCCGUCGUGCGGCCCAUGCGUCGGGAACGGUUCCCGGUUUCGCGUGGGCGUGCUGGUGUGGAAGAGAUCGUUGGCUUCGCGGGUUCCUUUUGUGGGUCCGGGGAGUGGUGCGGAUAUGCUUUUGGGUUCCCGGACCGCCACCCGCGACUUGGUCGCGCGCGGUUUUCCGGGUGUCCCCUUGGGGCGGUCGGCCGGCCGGUGUGCCGUGUCCGGAUCGUUUCUUGGGUGCGUGGUGGUUUGAGAACUGGAUAGUGGACGCGAGCAAUGCGAUGGCAUGUUUCUUGCCGUCGUUUGCUUUAUCGCGAUUUCGCCAGGCUCUUCUUUUUGGAGUCUGGUUUCGAGAUCGAUCGUUUUGUGAUCAUUGUUUACAGUGUGAUGAUCUGUCGUCUGGCGUGGAGAAGCUUAUCAUCAGGUUUUUUCGGGGCGUG